UACAGAGGUCCCAAGCGUUGUUCGGAUUCACUGGGCGUAAAGGGUGCGUAGGUGGUCGGGUAAGUCUGAUGUGAAAUCUCCGAGCUUAACUCGGAAACUGCAUCGGAUACUAUUCGGCUGGAGGGUUGGAGGGGGGACUGGAAUACUUGGUGUAGCAGUGAAAUGCGUAGAUAUCAAGUGGAACACCAGUGGCGAAGGCGAGUCCCUGGACAGUUCCUGACGCUGAGGCACGAAGGUCAGGGGAGCAAACGGGG
rnacentral:rRNA from 1 species